UACAGAGGUCUCAAGCGUUGUUCGGAUUCAUUGGGCGUAAAGGGCGCGUAGGCGGUGCGGUAAGUCACCUGUGAAAACUCUGGGCUCAACUCAGAGCCUGCAGGCGAAACUGCCGUGCUUGAGUGUGGGAGAGGGAAGUGGAAUUUCCGGUGUAGCGGUGAAAUGCGUAGAUAUCAAGAGGAACACCUGCGGCGAAGGCGGGUUGCUGGGCCGACACUGACGCUGAUGCGCGAAAGCCAGGGGAGCGAACGGG
rnacentral:rRNA from 1 species